UGUCAGCCAGUCGCCCCACACCCUCUGGGGUUGGGCACAGGGCACUGGGCUGGGCGGGAGGCGGGAGGGUCGCUGGGGGGGGGCUCUGUUCUCCUGGCCAUCCUUAGGCUCAGGAAAUUCCUCAAGGUGUAGGGCAGGCCCGGGAGGGUGUGUGGGGAUGUGAACCCUACAGGAACCGGGCCGUGGGCCCUGGAGAUGGAGGACAGGAGCCUAAUGGGCAGAAGACUCAGGCUUGGUUUUCCCGGUGCCCAGCGUCCGGGCCAAAAGGUUCUCUGGGGACUGGGGGACCACGCCUGCCAGCCCGGCCUCUGUCCAGGCAUCGGGGUAGCUGCGGACACUUCUGCAGAGACCUGGGCUGUCUGCCGCUUGCCCCCCCGCAUGCCCCUGUCCCGGCCGGCUGUGCGGAUGGCGAGGAACCCCAGGGCUGUGCUCAUCCCUCCGUCUGGCCCCCAGCCUGAGCUCCACUCGCUGCCCGGCAGAGCGUGGCUGCUGCCCCCUAGCGGUCAGAGCCCACGACCUGGAUCCUGUCGCUCAAGGGAGCAAAGCUCUAUCCAGUGGCCACUUAGCAGCUGCAAAGUGCCAAGGUCCCCACGCUGACAGCCGAAAACAGCUGAGCGGACCCCACUCACCGCCACCGGCUGCGGCUCCGGGCAGACGGCUAAACGCGUGCGCACUUCCCAGCGGCAGGAGGGAGCGAGCGGACCACGCCGCGCAUGGCGCCGGGCGCCACACGUCCGCGCACGUCCCCGAGCGGCCACGCUCCAGCCACAGUGCCCGUUCCUCCUACGCGCCCCCCGCAGCCCCGCGCACAAGGGAUGUGGCCGCCCUCUGGGCCUCACACAGUGACCAUCUCAGGACACCUGGGAGACGGAAUUUCAGCCCCUCGACCUACAAUGCCGACUUAAACACUUUUCACUUAAAAACAUUUAUUAAAAUGAAGAUUAAACCUGAAAAAAGAA